AUUGAACGCUGGCGGCGUGCUUAACACAUGCAAGUCGAACGUGAAAGUCCUUCGGGAUGAGUAAAGUGGCGCACGGGUGAGUAACGCGUGGAUAAUCUACCUUCAAGAUGGGGAUAACGGCUGGAAACGGUCGCUAAUACCGAAUAAGCUGUAGGUUUUGAAUUUACGGUAAAGAUGGCCUCUGCAUGCAAGCUAUCGCUUGAAGAUGAGUCCGCGUCCCAUUAGCUGGUUGGCGGGGUAACGGCCCACCAAGGCGACGAUGGGUAGCCGGUCUGAGAGGAUGAUCGGCCACACUGGGACUGGAACACGGCCCAGACUCCUACGGGAGGCAGCAGUGGGGAAUAUUGCGCAAUGGGCGAAAGCCUGACGCAGCGACGCCGCGUGAGGGAUGAAGGUCUUCGGAUCGUAAACCUCUGUCAGGAGGGAAGAAGUGGUUAUAUGCGAAUAGUGUAUGACU
rnacentral:rRNA from 1 species